AUGACGAUCCAGGUGGGCUCGUCCUCGGCGAUGCCGAUGAGCUUCACGAUGUGCGGGUGGUCCAGCUUCUUCAUCAGCACUGCGGGGACACCACAAUUCCCACCGAGGGUCCCCCCAAAUCCCGGGAAUUCCCACCCCUGGUGGACACUGUCCCGGAUUUCCCAAAGGGGUUGGAGAUCCUGGAGUUCGGGUUCCUCAGGAAGGGAUUCCAGAAGGUUCUCCACCUCUCCAAGAAUCCUUUCUCCAUCAUUUUGGGGUUUUUUUUGGGGGGUCCUAUCCCGGGUUUUUGGGCAUGGAGCGACUCCUUUGUCCUGCAUCCUGGAUUCCAAGGGCUCCUUGUUCCCUCAGGAUCCCAAAAAACCCCAAAAGGACCUUCAGGAUCCCAAAAAUCUUCACCAGGACCCUCAGGAUCCCAAAAAAAAACCCCAAAAGGACCCUCAGGAUUCCAAAAUAUCUCAGCAGGACCCUCAGGAUUCCAAAAAUCUUCACCAGGACCUUCAGGAUCCCAAAAAGGACCCUCAGAAUUCCAAAAAACUUCACCAGGACCUUCAGGAUCCCAAAAACCUCACCAGGACCUUCAGGAUUCUAAAAAUCUUCACCAGGGCACUCAGGAUUCCAAAAAACCCCAAAAGAACCUUCAGGAUCCCAAAAACCCCCAAAAGGACCCUCAGGAUUCCAAAAUAUCUCAGCAGGACCCUCAGGAUCCCAAAAAUCUUCACCAGGACCUUCAGGGUCCCAAAAAGGACCCUCAGAAUUCCAAAAAACCUCAGCAGGACCUUCAGGAUCCCAAAAAUCUUCACCAGGACCUUCAGGAUCCCAAAAAAACCCCAAAAGGAUCCUCAGGAUUCCAAAAAACUCCAUCAGGACCCUCAGGAUUCCAAAAUUCCUCACCAGGACCUUCAGGACCCCAAAAAACCUCACCAGGACCCUCAGGAUCCCAAAAAAAACCCCCAAAAGGACCUUCAGGAUUCCAAAAUAUCUCACCAGGACCUUCAGGAUCCCAAAAAACCUCACCAGGACCUUCAGGAUCCCAAAAAUCUUCACCAGGACCUUCAGAAUCCCAAAAAACCUCACCAGGACCCUCAGGAUCCCAAAAAACCCCAAAAAGACCCUCAGGAUUCCAAAAAUCUUCACCAGGACCCUUAG
rnacentral:lncRNA from 1 species